GGUGACGAUCCCGGCGAUGGAAGAAAGGCGAAACUGCUCCGCGUGGGCUGCCCGGAGUGGCAUCGCGCCUUGUUCGAGUCCGAAGAAGUUCCCGCUUCUCUAAACCGGCUGAAGAGAUGCGAGUCUCCUCCUCUUGUCCCAACGGGACUGCGUCCUGACACCGAGUGGACUCCGCCCCGAGAGUGCGAGCGUCCUGAGCGAUCAGGGCAUCCUGAGCCGCGGAAGGCAUCCGGCCACACCCCGCUCUUUACCCGCCAACGCCAGCCCAGGUGGUCAGGCUCAGAAUGGACUGUGAGCCCGUGUGUUAUGGAUCUCUGGUUGUAGAGACAAAAGAACAAAGAUGGAAGCCACCAAGGAUGCUCCCGGCUGAAUGAAUUGUUGCUCUCUGGCUUACACAAAGUCAAGCGAAUGAUCUUCCUAUGUUAUGUAAUAUAUCAACGACCUGCUUACCUUACUCCUUUAAUCUACGUUAUUCUGGAAAGUACCACUUGAAACAAAAGAGUAGAUACAUUCUACUGGAAAUAUGACCCUCAGAGAAGGAAAGAAAGACCGAGGGUUGAACCUGAACACAUGAAAGAGAAUCCAAGGUAAUUGGGGAAGCAUUGUCAAGAGCUCACAAGCUAUUUAAGAUAAAAGCAUCCCAUGUAUCUUAAUAAAUUUUGUCUGAUUGAUGGCUUUUUGAUGGGCCAGAGAGGAGUGAGAGAGAGCCAGAGAGGCACAGAGACAGGCAGACAGACAGUAAGGAGGAUUUUUCUUCUCUAUUUCUGUGUGAGGGUUUCUCCCUUCAAAUGUCAAUUCUGCCAUCCCUGUAGAGAACCUGCUUGGUACUGCCACAUCAGAGAAGCCUCCGGACGCAUCCAGGCCUAUUCUGCCCUUGGACCACAUUGUAUGCUUAGUGUUUCAGAAGAGAGAAAUCAUCAAAGGCGCACCCAAAGAAACAUCUGAAUGAAAGCUCAGUGGCAUUUGCUUUUCCCAAGGACCAGCAUCAUGGUUUCAGAGUUAACACACUGGAGAAAUGCCUAACCCUCCAUGUCACUCCCUACAUCCUCAACACUCACUCAGAGAGGGACAUCGAAGAAAGGAUCACCAGUGAGUCGUACUUCUCAAAGAGAAAGCAGAAGUUUAUUGCUGCUGAAAGUCUAUGAAUAAAUCCAUGCUCCAAAUCACAACCCGAAAAAGCUCCAGAAAGGAUGCACAUGGUCUAAAAAAUGGAGAGACUGGUGUCCCAUGCCCUGUCUUGUUACCCUGAGACAUGAUGUUGGGUAGAGUUGGUCUAGGUACAAUAUCAUUGAAUUUGCAGGUGCCUAAGUGUAGGGGAAUCACAUUGCCAUAUACAGUCAUUAUAGUGUCGGGAGACAAGAAAAUCUCUUUCCGGUGCAUCUGAGAACAUUGGAAAAAUAAUUGCAAUGGCCUGCAGACCUCAGGGACUCUCUGGAGAGAUACAGUGUGACCUCUGAAAACGCUUUAGAUUCUGUCAAAUAUCAAGAUGCAGAUCCAUAUCAGUGAUUACCAAAAAGGCUUGUUCAAAUCAUUGUUCUUGAAGAUAGUCACAGAUAGACACCAAUCAAGAGUCAAAUGCUGUAUCCUCUAACCAUUUAAAGCUUGGAUACAGCCCUGAGUGUAAAGGAAGUACUGUGUACCCCUUUGCCACACGAAGGUCAUAUAUUCAAAUCUCACCCCUCCCAAAGGUGAUGAUAUUAGGGGGUUGGGACUUCCAGGAGUGAACAUAACAUAUUCCCUUAUUAAAAAGGCUCAAGGGAGCUCACUUACCCUUCUGUCAAGUGACAACAGACAGCUGCUGUGAGUAAUUAAGUGUGUUCUAGCCACAGACCCUGCCAGUGCCUUGAUCUUGAAUUUUCUAGUCCGAAGAAGUAUGAGACAUUUCUGUUAUGUAUAAUUUACUCAAUAUAUAGUAGGUGUUCUGUUAGCUUAUUUUAAAAUGCAAUGCCUGUAUUUAUCUUGAAAAUAAAGGACUUUAGGUGUGUGUGUGUGUGUGUGUGUGUGUUUGUGUGUGUGUGUCCACAUACAUAGCAUAGACAAUAUGUAAGAUCUGUGUUCAGUUUUGGAAAAAAUAAAGCCAUGUUGCC
rnacentral:lncRNA from 1 species